rnacentral:rRNA from 1 species
AGCGAACGCUGGCGGCAGGCUUAACACAUGCAAGUCGAGCGGGCACUUUCGGGUGUCAGCGGCGGACGGGUGAGUAACGCGUGGGAACGUGCCCUCUGGUUCGGAAUAACUCAGGGAAACUUGAGCUAAUACCGGAUACGCCCUUUUGGGGAAAGGCUUGCUGCCGGAGGAUCGGCCCGCGUCUGAUCAGCUAGUUGGUGAGGUAACGGCUCACCAAGGCGACGAUCAGUAGCUGGUCUGAGAGGAUGAUCAGCCACACUGGGACUGAGACACGGCCCAGACUCCUACGGGAGGCAGCAGUGGGGAAUAUUGGACAAUGGGCGCAAGCCUGAUCCAGCCAUGCCGCGUGAGUGAUGAAGGCCUUAGGGUUGUAAAGCUCUUUUAUCCGGGACGAUAAUGACGGUACCGGAGGAAUAAGCCCCGGCUAACUUCGUG